UUUGCUCAAAAACGUGAUCGAUUUGAGGGUUUUUUUCCGCAGAUAACUUGGUCAAUUCAAGUCCCCCCCUCCCAAUUACUAUUGGCUAUUUGGUAGCCACUAUGUGGACUGGCAGUCUAAAGGAGGACCAGUACAGUUGGUUUUAUGCAACCAAAACAUGCCUCCAAGUCGGCAAUACAAAAGAUAGUGCCUGCUUUAAGGACCACUGGGAGCAACAUCAAAGAGGUUGGUGAGCAACAAUUUGGACCACUGGGAGCAACAUCAAAGAAGUUGUUUGAUCUCUGACAGAGUUCUUUCUACUAAAGGAAAGGUCAGAUUCUGCUGGAUUGGAAUAAAGAUGUGAUACAAAGAAUGUCCAGGACACAAAACAUUUUGGCCCAACCCGAACCUGCAGUCCUAGGCCCAAACAACAACCCAAAUAUUAAUGCACUUGGAUCCUCUACCUGACCCCGGUCCACAACUGCCUUAUACGCCACAUGAUCUGCAACUUGCCGAUUAAACAGGAGGUGCUGUUGUCUCAAACCAGAAGUGACCAUCAAAAGUGGGCGGAGACAGAAAAAAGUUUUGUAAAAAAGGAGUAAAAUAUAGACAUCAUUACAUCAGAUAACAAAUAUAGAUGAGACCCACAAUCCUCAUCCCGCAGGGUACCCCCUUUUUUUUUGCUGGUAACCUGCAGGUACCAGACCCGCUGCAGGACUCUAGUGCACAGGUCAUUUUAACACCCAGCAGCAGAAAUCAUAUUUAUCUAGCUAUUCAAUACAUCUGAUUUGCCCCAAGGUACCAGGACUAUUGCAUGCAUUUUGAUAAAAUAUGCCACAUAUACAUCAGGUGCAACUCCCUCACCUGGUAGCAAUUACAAGGGAAGUAAAGGGGAAAAUGCUGCUUUCUAGGUAGAAAACGUUGCACUUUUCACACUUACGUUGGUAGGAGUGUUGGGACCCAGCCAGUAACUCACCAGUCUAGCCAGUAAAUCAUCUGACAGGGCUGGGGCCUGUAUUAAAAAUGAACCGACAAUGUAAUCGCCUGUAAUUUACUCAUUGUAAUUAUUUCCUAAAUGUUCUCCUUCCCCCACAGCACUUGGUCCAAACUGCUCUUGAGGAGCAAGGCCUCCCCGCGGACGUGUAAGUUCCCCACCAUCACAUGCCCAUUCCCCACCCCUGAAAUGCCUACUCACUACCCCUGAAACUAUCAACAUCGUGCCCCUGUGACGUUACCACCACCCUUCUUCGACACUGCCCAGUAUGUUAGGGAAAAAAGGCAACCCUAUUUUAUAGAUGAGCCCUCAUAUGUAAAUGAUAGUUGGAAGUAUUGCAUGGGAUAUGUUUAUUGAGAUUAUAAUAACUAACGUUAGCUAGUUUCAAGCUUAUAUCUAAAAGUGAUCAGUUUGAGAAAGUUAAUCCAUGGGGACCAUGUUUGCCAGUAUUUUGCAGGGUUAUUUUGUAUAAUUGCUGUAAUCUCUUCCAUUUUCCUGGUUUCUACUACGAGAAGGAUCCAUUCUUGGCAUGUUGAUGGGGAGAUAUCCUUCCAUUUUUUGGGGGAUUAAAGCCUUUGCUGCUUGUAGCAUAAAUAAGAGUAAUACAUUUUUUAUGACUAUGCCUGAUCAUAAUGUAUUAUUAAUUUAGGUAUGACAUUUUCUCUAAAAACUUUUUCCAUAAUAGGAAUUGUAUAUUUCCAAAUUGUUUUUAGUUCUUAGCAGUGGUACCAGAUGUGGCUAUAUGUGCCUUCCUUUCUAAGGGUGGUGGCAGAUGGGGACAUUGAAUCGCCCAGCGACAAAUCUUCACUUCUGCGGUGACUGAUCUCCCCAAAUGCCUCCCCGCCAGCAAGAAUAGGAGUCGCUGCCGGGAUGGCACACAAAUCCCUUUGGAUUUCUGAAGUUGCCCAAAGUUUCCUUGUGAGGCCGCAGAAGCGAAGAUUUGUCGCAGGGCAACUAAUCUCCCUGUCUGUCACCACCCUUAGACAUCUCCAGCAUUUAUCUUUUGAAAAUGUUUGUUUCAAUCUGGCUGGGAUGUAAAGCUGGCCAUAGACGCAAAGAUCUGAUCUGAUCGAAUCAAGGAUUCGUACGAUUUUCGGACCGUGUGUGGAGAGUCCCGACAUUAUUCAUCCGGCGGAAAUCGAUCGUUUGGUAGAUCGGACAGGUUAAAAGAUUUCUGUCUGCUGCCGAUAAUAUCUCUGCGUGUAUUGCCGAUCGUACG